UACGGAGGAUACGAGCGUUAUCCGGAUUUAUUGGGUUUAAAGGGUGCGUAGGCGGACUGUCAAGUCAGCGGUAAAAUUGAGAGGCUCAACCUCUUCCCGCCGUUGAAACUGGUGGUCUUGAGUGGAUGAGAAGUACGCGGAAUGCGUGGUGUAGCGGUGAAAUGCAUAGAUAUCACGCAGAACUCCGAUUGCGAAGGCAGCGUACCGGCAUCCAACUGACGCUGAGGCACGAAAGCGUGGGGAUCAAACAGG
rnacentral:rRNA from 1 species